UGUUUGAAGGCCGGCGAUUAGUCGGUCCCGCAGAGCUUCCUGUAGAAACGCGCCCAACACGCACGUCGCUGCCAAUUUCUUGAGACCCACGAUGAAGUACGUUCGACACGCUUUCAUGCUUCUCUUGUUUUCGUUGAUGGAAGCGAUACUUUUCCGUCACCACGGAACUCUUGGGAGUGUAGUGCUUUUUCAGUGCACCAACGGCGUCCUCGAAUGUCACCUUCGUGGGCGUCUUUGGAAGAAGCAAGCUUCUGAGCGUCCCGUAAGCCUUGUCGCAAAUGGUAGUCAAGAGUUCUAGUAUGAGUAGUUU
rnacentral:lncRNA from 1 species